rnacentral:rRNA from 1 species
GACGAACGCUGGCGGCGUGCUUAACACAUGCAAGUCGAGCGGUAAGGCCUUUCGGGGUACACGAGCGGCGAACGGGUGAGUAACACGUGGGUGAUCUGCCCUGCACUUCGGGAUAAGCCUGGGAAACUGGGUCUAAUACCGGAUAUGACCUCCUAUCGCAUGGUGGGUGGUGGAAAGAUUUAUCGGUGCAGGAUGGGCCCGCGGCCUAUCAGCUUGUUGGUGGGGUAAUGGCCUACCAAGGCGACGACGGGUAGCCGACCUGAGAGGGUGACCGGCCACGCUGGGACUGAGACACGGCCCAGACUCCUACGGGAGGCAGCAGUGGGGAAUAUUGCACAAUGGGCGAAAGCCUGAUGCAGCGACGCCGCGUGAGGGAUGACGGCCUUCGGGUUGUAAACCUCUUUCAGCAGGGACGAAGCGCAAGUGACGGUACCUGCAGAAGAAGCACCGGCUAACUACGUG